CAACACACUGUCCAGCUAUAGGUCUGUUCAUCAACACACUGUCCAGCUAUAGGUCUGUUCAUCAACACACUGGAGAUACUGUAUGGCCUGUGUCUGUGUGUAUCUAUGGUCUGACAUUAUAAGCUAUGAGAAAGGCAGCAUAGAUGCACGAUAAGGCAGAUCCGUACCACACACACA